AACGCUAGCUACAGGCUUAACACAUGCAAGUCGAGGGGCAGCAUGGUCUUAGCUUGCUAAGGCCGAUGGCGACCGGCGCACGGGUGAGUAACACGUAUCCAACCUGCCGUCUACUCUUGGACAGCCUUCUGAAAGGAAGAUUAAUACAAGAUGGCAUCAUGAGUCCGCAUGUUCACAUGAUUAAAGGUAUUCCGGUAGACGAUGGGGAUGCGUUCCAUUAGAUAGUAGGCGGGGUAACGGCCCACCUAGUCUUCGACGGAUAGGGGUUCUGAGAGGAAGGUCCCCCACAUUGGAACUGAGACACGGUCCAAACUCCUACGGGAGGCAGCAGUGAGGAAUAUUGGUCAAUGGGCGAGAGCCUGAACCAGCCAAGUAGCGUGAAGGAUGACUGCCCUAUGGGUUGUAAACUUCUUUUAUAAAGGAAUAAAGUCGGGUAUGGAUACUCGUUUGCAUGUACUUUAUGAAUAAGGAUCGGCUAACUCCGUGCCAGCAGCCGCGGUAAUACGGAGGAUCCGAGCGUUAUCCGGAUUUAUUGGGUUUAAAGGGAGCGUAGAUGGAUGUUUAAGUCAGUUGUGAAAGUUUGCGGCUCAACCGUAAAAUUGCAGUUGAUACUGGAUAUCUUGAGUGCAGUUGAGGCAGGCGGAAUUCGUGGUGUAGCGGUGAAAUGCUUAGAUAUCACGAAGAACUCCGAUUG
rnacentral:rRNA from 1 species